UACGUAGGGGGCGAGCGUUGUCCGGAUUCAUUGGGCGUAAAGCGCUUUAAGGCGGUUCGCUAAGUCGGGUGUGAAACCUCCAGGCUCAACCUGGAGACGCCACUCGAUACUGGCGUGACUAGAGUUCGGUAGGGGACCACGGAAUUCCUGGUGUAGCGGUGAAAUGCGCAGAUAUCAGGAGGAACACCAGUGGCGAAGGCGGUGGUCUGGGCCGAUACUGACGCUGUAGAGCGAAAGCGUGGGGAGCGAACCGG
rnacentral:rRNA from 1 species